AGAGUGUGAUUCUGGCUCAGGAUGAACGCUGGCGGCGUGCCUAACACAUGCAAGUCGAGCGAAGCACUUUGCUUAGAUUCUUCGGAUGAAGAGGAUUGUGACUGAGCGGCGGACGGGUGAGUAACGCGUGGGUAACCUGCCUCAUACAGGGGGAUAACAGUUAGAAAUGACUGCUAAUACCGCAUAAGACCACAGCACCGCAUGGUGCAGGGGUAAAAACUCCGGUGGUAUGAGAUGGACCCGCGUCUGAUUAGCUAGUUGGUAAGGUAACGGCUUACCAAGGCGACGAUCAGUAGCCGACCUGAGAGGGUGACCGGCCACAUUGGGACUGAGACACGGCCCAAACUCCUACGGGAGGCAGCAGUGGGGAAUAUUGCACAAUGGGGGAAACCCUGAUGCAGCGACGCCGCGUGAGCGAAGAAGUAUUUCGGUAUGUAAAGCUCUAUCAGCAGGGAAGAAUUAGGACGGUACCUGACUAAGAAGCACCGGCUAAAUACGUGCCAGCAGCCGCGGUAAUACGUAUGGUGCAAGCGUUAUCCGGAUUUACUGGGUGUAAAGGGAGCGUAGACGGAUGGGCAAGUCUGAUGUGAAAACCCGGGGCUCAACCCCGGGACUGCAUUGGAAACUGUUCAUCUAGAGUGCUGGAGAGCUAAGUGGAAUUCCUAGUGUAGCGGUGAAAUGCGUAGAUAUUAGGAGGAACACCAGUGGCGAAGGCGGCUUACUGGACAGUAACUGACGUUGAGGCUCGAAAGCGUGGGGAGCAAACAGGAUUAGAUACCCUGGUAGUCCACGCCGUAAAC
rnacentral:rRNA from 1 species